CUUGUUAUGGAAGUUUGACCUGGAGAACACGUGCAUUGACCUAUGAAACAUCAAACACGUGCAUUUUUUCAUGAAAGAGUAUUAUUCUCAAGAAAGUCCAUAAAAUGGUUCCAACCACCAAAUUUGGCCUCGGACUAUCGAGCCAAAGUUAACAGUCUCGUAGGGAUGACGAUCCAAAUCUUUUGAAAAUGGCGCCUUUCCUGAGUUUCCUCCAGUAACAGUGAUGGAGUUUUGUGGAUCCAGUAGCAGAUCAAUUCGUUGAUUCCUAACACCGGCGGCGCCGCGGCGCAUCCAUUUGGUUUCUUAUCACUGAUCUUUUGAUGGAGGCCGCUGUUUGUGUGCUUAGUUCACCAUUUUUGGUACAAGGUACAUUCGUGUUCUUCUUGUUGUAGUAGUACAUGCUAGUAUUUGUUUUGGUAGUAUAAAUAAAUUUCCUGCCAUUUUCUCAAGGGAAAAAAAUCGUCAAAGCCUUUUGAGUAAGACUAUCCAUACCAAAUAACUGAAAAGAUGAGAGAGUACAGGAAUUGGUCCCGAGGGGAGCUCGACUCGUGUCGUCAUCAAAGCAAAAGAAUUGCUCCGAUCUCCCUCUAAAAGGGCGGCUCCACCCUCCUUUGCCAUGGCUCUGGGGAUCAAAGACGAAUCCCAAAUCCAACUACAACUUGAAUGGAGAAGUGUUAGCGUUUCUGAGAUUCCCCUUAAAGUUGGUUGGGUCAAUGUUUACAGGUUCAUCUGAGCAUGAGAUGCGGAAAGGCAGUGGGGUAUAUUGAAUUCGACCAUCCGAAGUAUGUCCCCAUGGCUAUCGAUCUCUCUGGCCAGCUACUUGUUGGGGAACGUAUAGAAAUUAAACCUCUGAAUGCUGAUGGGAACCCGUCUUCUGCAGGGGAAAGAUGUCAUGCUCUUACAGGUAAAAACAAUUGUUUGGAUAAGCCUUGGCAUCUGAUGACUUCUGAUGAGAGAAUUGAUUCAUCCACUGACUGGAGAGAACCUCAUCGAUGUAGAUGAUCGGAGGGUCUUCUACAACAAGAUCACGGGGGAACGCUGGAGGACAAUACCCAAUGAUUUAUGGAGGGCCCGUCUUAAAGCUUGUUGUUAUAAAUAUAUAUAUGGUAGCCCGCGUCGGCCCCGGACUUUGCAUCAGCACGAGACUUGGCAGCAGGGUCGGGUUCGUGAGAAUGUAAUGACAUGGAGUUCUCCUCAGCAGCAGCAGCAGCAGCAGUAUGAUACCCACGUUCGGCCUCCGCAACAGGAUUGGCCUCAGCCCCAGCAUCCGGUUUGAGGCCUCCUCAGCCGCAGCAGCUGGGGUGGCCUCAGCAGUAGUUUCUACUAUUGGAAUAGAUUGAUAAUCCUAACUGCUUAAUAAAAUAUGCAAAUUGAGAGUGGAUGAUCCAUGGUUUUACUAGGUUUAACUCGGGUUUUUCAGUGUUUGUGCCUGACUCUGAGUGUGUUGGCCAGUUGUAUCAUUUUCUCCUGCCCUUGACGUAUUGUGCUUGAAAUGUUAUAGCAUCCAACUCAA